rnacentral:rRNA from 1 species
GAGGAAUAUUGGUCAAUGGGCGAGAGCCUGAACCAGCCAAGUAGCGUGCAGGAUGACGGCCCUAUGGGUUGUAAACUGCUUUUGUAUGGGGAUAAAGUCAAUCACGUGUGAUUGUUUGCAGGUACCAUACGAAUAAGGACCGGCUAAUUCCGUGCCAGCAGCCGCGGUAAUACGGAAGGUCCGGGCGUUAUCCGGAUUUAUUGGGUUUAAAGGGAGCGUAGGCUGGAGAUUAAGUGUGUUGUGAAAUGUAGACGCUCAACGUCUGACUUGCAGCGCAUACUGGUUUCCUUGAGUACGCACAACGUUGGCGGAAUUCGUCGUGUAGCGGUGAAAUGCUUAGAUAUGACAAAGAACUCCGAUUGCGAAGGCAGCUGACGGGAGCGCAACUGACGCUGAAGCUCGAAGGUGCGGGUAUCGAACAGGAUUAGAUACCCUGGUAGUCCGCACAGUAAACGAUGGAUGCCCGCUGUUGGUACCUGGUAUCAGCGGCUAAGCGAAAGCAUUAAGCAUCCCACCUGGGGAGUACGCCGGCAACGGUG